rnacentral:rRNA from 1 species
AACGGACGCUGGCGGCGUGUUUAAGACAUGCAAGUCGCACGGGAUAAGACAUGUAGUAAUACUUGUUUUAUUUAGUGGCGCACGGGUGAGUAACACGUGAAUUACAUGCCCUAUAGUGGGGAAUAGCCCAGGGAAACUUGGAUUAAUACCCCAUGGUAUCGAAAGAUUAAAGGUGGCCGCAAGGCUGUCGCUAUAGGAUUGGUUCGCGCCCUAUCAGCUUGUUGGUGAGGUAAAGGCUCACCAAGGCAAUGACGGGUACCUGGUCUGAGAGGGCGAUCAUGCACACUGGAACUGAGACACGGUCCAGACACCUACGGGUGGCAGCAGUCGAGAAUAAUUCACAAUGGUGGCAACCCUGAUGGUGCAACGCCGCGUGGAGGAUGACGGUCUUCGGAUUGUAAACUCCUGUCAUCUGGGAGAAAGCCCUGACGGUAAAUAGCCGGCAGGGUUGAUAGUACCAGAAGAGGAAGGGACGGCUAACUUCGUGCCAGCCGCCGCUGUAA